UCUUAUCAAAACAAAAAAAACAAAGAAAGAACCCAGAAGGAGUUCUGUAUUCUCAACGUUAGAGAGAGAGAGAGAGAGAGAGAGAGAGAGAGAGAGUAGCGUGGAGGAAGAAGAAGAGGAGAAAGAGGAAGAAGAAGAAGGAGGAAUUAGGGUUAAGGUGUAUUCAAGCUUAAUUAGGUUCGGAGACGAUGACGAGUACCGCAGCUCCACGUAGGGAGUGACUGCGUUGGUUUUCUUUUUGUUGGAGACCGAGUUUUGCAGGUAUAGGUCGGUGUCCACUACAGGUCACAUUUUGCGUUUUUGUGACUCGCUUGAGAAGUGCGUGGUUGAGGCCUGAGAGAGUCUUUGUCUCCCAGCCCAUAGAUGAUAUUUGCCUAGUUUAGUUUAGUUUUUAAUUUGGAUAAUAGUUGGUUAUGUUUAUUUCUUGACAGACUUCCGCUGUAGUUUGUAAAUGACAAUCAUUUUUGAGAUGUAAAUAAAAUGUGGCUGUUAAACUUUAA